GACGAACGCUGGCGGCGUGCUUAACACAUGCAAGUCGAACGGAAAGGCCCCUUUGGGGGUACUCGAGUGGCGAACGGGUGAGUAACACGUGAGUAACCUGCCCUUGACUUCGGGAUAACUUCAUGAAACUGGGGCUAAUACCGGAUAGGAAUCCUUGCUGCAUGGUGGGGGUUGGAAAGCUUCGGCGGUUUUGGAUGGACUCGCGGCUUAUCAGCUUGUUGGUGGGGUAGUGGCUUACCAAGGCUUUUACGGGUAGCCGGCCUGAGAGGGCGACAGGCCACAUUGGGACUGAGAUACGGCCCAGACUCCUACGGGAGGCAGCAGUGGGGAAUAUUGCACAAUGGGCGGAAGCCUGAUGCAGCAACGCCGCGUGCGGGAUGACGGCCUUCGGGUUGUAAACCGCUUUCAGCAGGGGCGAAGCUUGUGGUGACGGUACCUGCAGAAGAAGCACCGGCUAACUACGUG
rnacentral:rRNA from 1 species